rnacentral:rRNA from 1 species
AAACCAACAGGGAUUGCCUCAGUAACGGCGAGUGAAGCGGCAAAAGCUCAAAUUUGAAAUCCCCCGGGGAAUUGUAAUUUGAAGAUUGUGUUUUGGAAACGACCGUGUCUAUGUUCCUUGGAACAGGACGUCACAGAGAGUGAGAAUCCCGUGCGGCACGGCCACCGUUUCCUUAUAAACACUCUCGACGAGUCGAGUUGUUUGGGAAUGCAGCUCAAAGUGGGUGGUAAAUUCCAUCUAAAGCUAAAUACAGGCGAGAGACCGAUAGCGAACAAGUACAGUGAUGGAAAGAUGAAAAGCACUUUGAAAAGAGAGUGAAACAGUACGUGAAAUUGUUGAAAGGGAAGGGCAUGCCGUCAGAUUGUCAGUGUGGGUAAGAAGCGGGGUACAAAGACUGUGGAACGUGGCCCUCGGGUGUUAUAGCCACAGUUCAUCCCCGUCUCUUUCCGAGGCCUGCUUUGAGGACACCGACGUAAUGACGGUACGCGCCCGUCUUGAAACACGGACCCUAAGACUGCCAAGGCACACA